rnacentral:tRNA from 1 species
GCCCCGGUAGCUCAGAGGAUAGAGCAGCGGUUUCCUAAACCGUUGGUCGUGGGUUCAACUCCCGCCCGGGGUGCCA